CACUACGCCACUUCACAUCCCCACCAAAAUUCUCUCUCACCUCCACUACUAACCCAAUCGCAGUACAUAUUCACGCAAAGAGGGAUCUCCAUCUCCACUGAUCUGCGUCGAUUCACCCUUUGCAGCUAGUCGAAACCCUAACUUCCGCCCGCCUCUCUGCACGCUAGCGCCGCCCGCCGCUCUGCACCCUAGCGCCGCCGCAUGCCGCUCUGCUCCAUCAGCCGCCGCACGCCUCCAGGCCAGAACACGCAGCACCGCGUUCUUCCUCUUCUUCCUCCGCCAAAAUCGUAUCUAUUCCUCUUCUUCCUCCAAAAUCGUAUCUAUUCCUCGGUUUCUCUCUCUUCACCAAACCCAUUUUCUUCCUCUUCUCCCUCCGCCAAAAAUCGUAUCUAUUCCCUUCCAACCCCUCCGUUCUAGGUUCCGUUGAAUUAUUUGAACUGAUUGCGAACCUGAAGAAUUCUAACCUCCGGAGGUCGUCGGCGAAGGCUAUGUACACUCCGGAUUUUUAUGCCCCGGAGAGGACCUCACUCCGGGUUCUGCUUUUCUUCCAACUAUUGAAGUUCGAUACGAGCACUUGAGCGUUGAUGCAGAGGCGGAGAGGCCUAUGUAGGUGGGAGAGCUCUGCCUACAGUGUUCAACUUCAUUGUUAAUAUGUUGGAGGUGAAUGAUUCUGAUUCAGACAGAGAAUCUGCAAGCGGUGAAGAAGCAAUGCGUCGUUGGUGCCAAGAAGGCGAAACCCAAGGCUGCAGCAGAAUCCAAAGAUCCACAAAGUGUUGCAGCUAAGAAAUGGCGGCAAAAUCGUGCGCCGUGGAUUGCCUGCCGAACUUGCUGCUCGUCUAGUGGUGAAGCCUUUAUUCAUGCUGGAUCGAUAUUCUCGGUGAGCUCGAAGCCAUGGCAAGGUCCUUUCAUCUGUUCCAACUGUCGGAAUAAGAAGGAUGCCAUGGAAGGGAAGAGACCAAGUGGAGUUAGAGUAGUAUAGCCUUGGAGCUGUCAUACACGGCUCCUCAAUGCCUGUUUUCUUUCUGCUUUUCGGUGAGAUGGUCAAUGGUUUCGAUAAAAACCAAAUGGAUUUGCACAAAAUGACACAUGAAGUUGGAAAGUAUGCUUCAUAUUUCGUUUUUAUUGGCUUGGUAGUGUGCUGCUCUUCCUACGCUGAUUGCUCGACAACUUCUACGACAAGGAGGAAAUAUGGAUCCUUUAAAUGAUGGGACCCAGGUCCAACUCGGUGAGGAUAAGGCAGAGUCCGGUUCUUUGUCUAAUGAAGCCGUGGUUGGAGCUAAAACAUCUGAAAAAGCUGUGGAAGCUGAAUUGAUUAUAUACUUUACUACCUUCUUUAUUUGAUCCUACUCUUGUGUUACUGUUCAGAUUACUAUUAGUGUGAUUUUGUUAUGUACAUUGGUGUUUUGUGUUGAUAUAUGUUAGCUUUUUUUUUUUGUGAAAUAUAUGUCGUCUUUUUUAUUCUUA